AUGGCCCUGAAUCGAGGCCAGCAGCAGUUUACUGAAGCUGUUGGUUUCCAACAGGAGCCUAAAGAAAUGUUUUUCUAUGGUCUGUUAGCCAUUUUGUAAGUUUGUAAACCUAAUGGUCAACUCAUUAGAAAGAAACAUCU
rnacentral:snoRNA from 1 species